rnacentral:rRNA from 1 species
GACGAACGCUGGCGGCGUGCUUAACACAUGCAAGUCGAACGGAAAGGCCCUGCUUUUGUGGGGUGCUCGAGUGGCGAACGGGUGAGUAACACGUGAGUAACCUGCCCUUGACUUUGGGAUGACUUCAGGAAACUGGGGCUAAUACCGGAUAGGAGCUCCUGCUGCGUGGUGGGGGUUGGAAAGUUUCGGCGGUUGGGGAUGGACUCGCGGCUUAUCAGCUUGUUGGUGGGGUAGUGGCUUACCAAGGCUUUGACGGGUAGCCGGCCUGAGAGGGUGACCGGCCACAUUGGGACUGAGAUACGGCCCAGACUCCUACGGGAGGCAGCAGUGGGGAAUAUUGCACAAUGGGCGGAAGCCUGAUGCAGCAACGCCGCGUGCGGGAUGACGGCCUUCGGGUUGUAAACCGCUUUCGCCUGUGACGAAGCGUGAGUGACGGUAAUGGGUAAAGAAGCACCGGCUAACUACGUG